UACAGAGGGUGCAAGCGUUAAUCGGAAUUACUGGGCGUAAAGCGUGCGUAGACGGUUAUGUAAGUCGGGGGGGAAAGCCCCGGGCUCAACCUGGGAAUGCCAUUCGAGACUGCAUAGCUAGGGUGCGGAAGAGGGAAGCGGAAUUUCCGGUGUAGCGGUGAAAUGCGUAGAUAUCGGAAGGAACACCAGUGGCGAAAGCGGCUUCCUGGUCCAGCACCGACGUUCAGGCACGAAAGCGUGGGGAGCAAACAGG
rnacentral:rRNA from 1 species